rnacentral:rRNA from 1 species
GACGAACGCUGGCGGCGUGCUUAACACAUGCAAGUCGAGCGGUAAGGCCCUUUCGGGGGUACACGAGCGGCGAACGGGUGAGUAACACGUGGGUGACCUGCCCUUAGCUCUGGGAUAAGCCUGGGAAACUGGGUCUAAUACCGGAUAUGACUCCAUAACGCAUGUUGUGGGGUGAAAGCCUUGUGCGGCUAGGGAUGGGCCCGCGGCCUAUCAGCUUGUUGGUGGGGGUGAUGGGCCACCAAGGCGACGACGGGUAGCCGGCCUGAGAGGGCGACCGGCCACACUGGGACUGAGACACGGCCCAGACUCCUACGGGAGGCAGCAGUGGGGAAUCUUGCGCAAUGGGCGAAAGCCUGACGCAGCGACGCCGCGUGGGGGA